rnacentral:sRNA from 1 species
AGACACAAUUCUAUGAGCAUCCUUUUUAAAAUUGUGUGUGUGUGUGCAUGUGUGUAUGCAUAUGUAAAAUGAGAGAAAGAUAAUAGGUCAUCCCAAUGACCCUGAGCGCUAGCAAAGAUGGGAAGAAAUGUUGAUAGUUUGUUCUUUAUUUUAGAUGCUAGUUCUCAAGACUGCUAUGAUAUUCCACGAACAUUUCCAAGUGAUAGAUCUAGUUCACUUGAAGGCUUCCAUAACCACUUUAAAGUCAAAAAUGUGUUGACAGUGGGAAGUGUUUCAAGUGAAGAACUGGAUGAAAAUUACGUCCCAAUGAAUCCCAAUUCACCACCACGACAACAUUCCAGCAGUUUUACAGAACCAAUUCAGGAAGCAAAUUAUGUGCCAAUGACUCCAGGAACAUUUGAUUUUUCCUCAUUUGGAAUGCAAGUUCCUCCUCCUGCUCAUAUGGGCUUCAGGUCCAGCCCAAAAACCCCUCCCAGAAGGCCAGUUCCUGUUGCAGACUGUGAACCACCCCCCGUGGAUAGGAACCUCAAGCCAGACAGAAAAGGUCAAAGUCCUAAAAUUUUAAGACUCAAACCCCAUGGUUUAGAGCGAACUGAUUCACAAACCAUAGGUGACUUUGCUACAAGAAGAAAGGUCAAGCCAGCACCUUUAGAAAUAAAACCUUUGCCAGAAUGGGAAG